rnacentral:lncRNA from 1 species
UUUGCAUGUAAUGGUCCUUGGCCUAUAACUAGUUUUUCUUUUGUAAGUGUGUCAAACAGCUGUUCUCAGAUAUUCUAAUUUGCUUUCUUCUAGGCAUAUGGUAGAACUGAACUUUGUUCUACUGAAAUUGCUCAUUGCCAUGUGAUUUGCUUUGGCGAAUGAAAUGAAACUGAAGGUGAUGUGUGGACUCUUCUUGGGGGAGGCAUUUCAUUGCCAGUGACAGAGAUGAAGUCUCACCAUAUUGCCCAGGCUGGUUUCAAACUCUUGGACUUAAGCAAUCCUCCCACCUCGCCUCCCAAAGUGCCAGGAACACACUUAUGUCUCUUACAGCCAUGGAAACAAUGAACUGCUAACAUGUGUUUUUAGAAAGAAUGUGGAAGUAUGGGAACCUCUUCCUUUAUGUGGUAAUUGAGGACUAGGCCAGGCACAGUGGCUCACACCUGUAAUCCCAGC